GACGUAGGGCGCGAGCGUUGUCCGGAUUUAUUGGGCGUAAAGAGCUCGUAGGCGGCUUGUCGCGUCGACUGUGAAAUCCCGCGGCUCAACUGCGGGUCUGCAGUCGAUACGGGCAUCACUUGAGUUCGGCAGGGGAGACUGGAAUUCCUGGUGUAGCGGUGAAAUGCGCAGAUAUCAGGAGGAACACCGGUGGCGAAGGCGGGUCUCUGGGCCGAUACUGACGCUGAGGAGCGAAAGCAUGGGUAGCGAACAGG
rnacentral:rRNA from 1 species